rnacentral:rRNA from 1 species
AGUGAACGCUGGCGGUAGGCCUAACACAUGCAAGUCGAACGGCAGCACAGUAAGAGCUUGCUCUUACGGGUGGCGAGUGGCGGACGGGUGGGGAAUACAUCGGAAUCUACUUUUUCGUGGGGGAUACCGUAGGGAAACUUACGCUAAUACCGCAUACGACCUACGGGUGAAAGCAGGGGAUCUUCGGACCUUGCGCGAUUGAUUGAGCCGAUGUCGGAUUAGCUAGUUGGCGGGGUAAAGGCCCACCAAGGCGACGAUCCGUAGCUGGUCUGAGAGGAUGAUCAGCCACACUGGAACUGAGACACGGUCCAGACUCCUACGGGAGGCAGCAGUGGGGAAUAUUGGACAAUGGGCGCAAGCCUGAUCCAGCCAUACCGCGUGGGUGAAGAAGGCCUUCGGGUUGUAAAGCCCUUUUGUUGGGAAAGAAAAGCAGCAGGUUAAUACCCCGCUGUUCUGACGGUACCCAAAGAAUAAGCACCGGCUAACUUCGUG